GGCAAUUGCUGGCUAUAAAGGCAUAUGAGAGCGCAUACAAGCGGCAAUUGUACAAAUACUGUGUGAAGUGAGGUGAGCUGUGUGCAUAUUGAGCAUUUGUAAUGCAGCUGAUAAAGACUUGCGAAAUUUAUGUAAAAGUACCGUAGAGGCGCAUAAAUAACGAAUUAAUGUGGCAGCAACGAAUGAGGAGCGAUUGUAGAGCGGUCGAGAGUGGAGAGGAGUGUGUGUAAAAUAUACACGUAAUUCGCAUGAAGGGUUUCGAACAUAUUCGAAAUAAGGAGUACAUCGUUGUAUUUGUAGUAGCAUACAUAUGUAUUGUUGUAUUAUAAAUGCGCAUUUAUUUACUGUAUUGAUUGUUGUAAAUGUAAUUAAUUUAACGGAUAUUGUUGGUCAUAUUUUAUAGAUUAAUGAGUUUGCAUAUAGUUGGCAGCAAAUGCAAAUAUGAAUGCAAAUAUGAAUGUAAUUUGAGUAUAUGGAUUUAUACUCCCAUGUGUUGUAUGUCUGUGCAUUCCCAGCAGAUUUAAAAGCGAGAUCUCCUGAAAGGAGAAAUGAAGGAGUCCUCCUAUUGACCUCUUUUAGGAGCAGUAAGCAAUUGUUCAUUUCAACUGUGUUUUUUAAAGCGUGCAGACGUAAGUGUUUUAUAUCUAUUGAGUAUUAAAUAUUUUAAAUUGAUAAUUAAAUGUACUCUAAAAGGCAUUUAAAACGCCUAGUGAAUAAAAAAUUAAAUAAUUUAUAUAAAAAAACAAAAUAAUAACACACAAAAUGAAAAUGAUGUGGAAAGUGUUAAUGAAAUUGAAAAACAUGGAACAAAGAAUACGGAAGCUAGAGGAAAUAUCGGCGCAGAACACUAUACUCCUGGAGCGGAUUAUUGACAUAUUUCCACCGAUGGAGAUUGAAUUAAUGAUAUUUCCUAUUAAAAACAUGAAUGAUUUAGCAUCUACAGAGUCCUUGCUUUUGAAUAAGCCCGAGGCAGAAAUUGUGGCCUAUCUGAAGCAAAAAUUUUCAAAGAGACCCCUAUCAAAAAUUUUGGAUGAAGUGAUUGCGGAGUCCCUGCUCUUAAAAGUGAAUUGGGAUGGAGCCAAAAAAAAGUUGCAUUAAAGAGUUAUGCACUUUUCAAUAAAUUUCUUUACGAGGCUUUAAAAGAUGAUUACUCAUACCAUGAUUUUGAGGCAAAGAUCAAAAAGGCGUUUCUCAAAUGUAAGGCUCAGUUCUACAGGAACACUUAUAAUAUAAAAAAAUAAUAGAUUUCAUGUACAUUCAUUUAAUUAAAAAACUUUAAUAAAAAAUAAAAUUAUAAAAAUUUGUUUUUGUUAAAAUAAUUGCAGGUUGAAAAUAAUAUAGGAUUUAUCAUAGAGAUCUCCUAUAGUAGUAAUCAUAGAGAUCUCCUUUGGGAUUAAUCAUAGAGAUAUCCUAUAGUAGUAAUCAUAGAGAUCUCCAUUAGGAGGUUAAAAGGAGUACUCGCGUUCCAAUGACAUGCAAUGUUAAAAACGAGUAUACAAUUUUACGUGUAUUUACACACGAGUAUUAGGAGUAAUUGGGAGUAUAGGAUAUCUCCUAAAGGAUUAAUCCAGGAGGUCUCAAACGAUCAUCCUAAAAUCUGCUAGGUUGCUAU